CCUACGGGAGACAGCAGUGAGGAAUAUUGGUCAAUGGACGAGAGUCUGACCCAGCCAAGUAGCGUGAAGGAUGACUGCCCUAUGGGUUGUAAACUUCUUUUAUAUGGGAAUAACAUGUUCCACGUGUGGGAUUUUGUAUGUACCUUAUGAAUAAGGAUCGGCUAACUCCGUGCCAGCAGCCGCGGUAAUACGGAGGAUCCGAGCGUUAUCCGGAUUUAUUGGGUUUAAAGGGAGCGUAGGUGGAUUGUUAAGUCAGUUGUGAAAGUUUGCGGCUCAACCGUAAAAUUGCAGUUGAAACUGGCAGUCUUGAGUACAGUAGAGGUGGGCGGAAUUCGUGGUGUAGCGGUGAAAUGCUUAGAUAUCACGAAGAACUCCGAUUGCGAAGGCAGCUCACUGGACUGCAACUGACACUGAGGCUCGAAAGUGUGGGUAUCAAACAGGAUUAGAUACCCGGGUAGUC
rnacentral:rRNA from 1 species